UGUCGGGUGUGGUUACGCCAUACAAUACCCUUAUGGGAAAAGCGUAACGACGGACUGUGAACCGUGUUUUUGAGCGCCCGACAGCCUUCUA
rnacentral:ncRNA from 1 species